CCUACGGGAGGCCGCAGUGAGGAAUAUUGGUCAAUGGGCGGGAGCCUGAACCAGCCAAGUCGCGUGAGGGAAGACGGUCCUACGGAUUGUACACCUCUUUUGCCGGGGAGCAACGGUGUCCUUGCGAGGGCCCGAUGAGAGUACCCUGAGAAACAGCAUCGGCUAACUCCGUGCCAGCAGCCGGGUUAAUACGGAGGAUGCGAGCGUUAUCCGGAUUCAUUGGGUUUAAAGGGAGCGUAGAUGGGUAGUUAAGUCAGUUGUGAAAGUUUGCGGCUCAACCGUAAAAUUGCAAUUGAUACUGGCAGCCGUGAGGACAGUUGAGGUAGGCGGAAUUCGUGGUGUAGCGGUGAAAUGCUUAGAUAUCACGAAGAACUCCGAUUGCGAAGGCAGCUUACUAAGCUGCCACUGACAUUGAUGCUCGAAAGUGUGGGUAUCAAACAGGAUUAGAUACCCGUGUAGUC
rnacentral:rRNA from 1 species